rnacentral:lncRNA from 1 species
GGUACCACUUUUUAUUUUGUUGACAGAUACUGUGUUUAUUAAAUAAAUACGGCACACCUAGCUACUUGGAAAAGAAAAAAAUUAUCGCACAUAUAAAAGACAUGAACUAAAGUGCAAUCUAAUUUAUUAUACAUAUUUAACAAACAUAGAAUAUUGAGGGUAAGAUGGAGUUGAAGAAGUAGAAAAACAGUGAGAGAUAAGUAAAAGAAAAGGCAUAAAACACGGGACAAUCAAACUCAAACAUCGGAGUGGGAAACCUCUUCAGUAGCAGUAGCACUCUGCUCAUCACCAUCAUCAUCAACUUCUGCUUCCUGAUCAUCCUCAUCAGCAUCAACAUCAACAUCAACAUCAACUUCUGCUUCCUGAUCAUCCUCAUCAGCAUCAACAUCAACAUCAACAUCAACUUCGGCUGCCUGAAUAUCCAGUGGAGCAGGAUCUGAUUGUAAUUCCUCACCAGUUUGCUCCUCAAACUCAGUUGCGCCUCUCUUGGAAGUGAUGGUGCGGCCAACUCUAUUAUCAGACGCUGCCAUGUCAACCAACGCACCACGACGAUCAUUUACUUUAGGCUUCCUGGCCAUUGCUGCUAUCUUCUUCCCAUCAUUUCCCUUUUUUGGAAUAAUCGACCUCAAUAUUACUUGCUUAUUCUCAUCCUCAUUUGCCUCGGAUUCUUUCAUUUCCUGCUCCUCAAAUAUUGGAGCAUGCUUUCCAGCCUCGAGUAGCGACUCGUAAGGCAUUUCCUCUGUCGCAUUCCCCUUCUCAUCAAUUCCCAUCUUCACCAACGCACUACUGAGACUGAGGGCGGAGCUCUUUCCUUGAGCUGCGUGAGUUUUCAGAUUAUUUCCCUUUUUUGGAUUAAUCUUUUUCUCCACACUCCCCAAAUCAUCCAUAUUCUUAUACUUUUGCGACAACAACCUCUCAUCCCCAAACACACCUGCAGCAACAUUGAGGGUCGAGCUCAUCUCUUGAAGUUGAUCACACGACAAUGGACUAAUAUUCUGGGACUCAUAAUUCAUUUCCUGCUCGGUCUCUAUGGGGUAUUCUUCCUCAUUCCUUGAUUCAUCUACCUCAAAUUGGGACAUCUCCUUAUGAUCAUCAACUACCUUGUUCAAUGCAUCACUCAUCUUUGCCUUAUCCUGCUCAACGUGACUUGUACUUUUACGCCCUUUAUUCCCUUUCAAUGCACCACCCAUUAAUGCUUUCGCUCCUUCACCGGCACCCUUUAUAUUCUUCGCCACGUUGCUCCUAUUCCCUAACGCCUCAUAAUUCUCUACAAGCAUCACCUCCUCUGCGGACCUCAUUUCCUGUUUGUCUUCCUCGGCUUCAUCUUCAUCAUUCAUCGUUUCAACCUCACCACUACAUUUAUCAUGCAGUAUAUCCUCAUAAUCAACUGCCGUAUUCUUAGCAACAAUAUUGAGGGCCGCCCUCCCUACUUUCACAUGUUGAAGUUGAUCAAGCUUUAUAUUCUUAGGCACCGGUCUAUUGCGCUCAUCACGCCUCUUGAGUAACGACAAUGGACUUUUCUCCUCCAUCAUGCUAUCAUCACCGACCACCAUUUGUAUUCCUUGCUCGGUUUUUGCCAGGUAUUCUUCCUCAUCACCCUCUUUAUCAUUCAUCGUCUCUACCUCCUCAUUCCUUGAUUCAUCGCCUUCUUCACCCAUCUGCAGAUAUGCGAAUAUGGGUAUAUCCUUAUAAUCAACUGCCUUGUUCACCUGUCCCUUCAUCUUUCCCUUAGCCUGUUCAGCUUGAGUUGUACUCUUACGCCUUACAUUUCCCUUCAUCAACUGCUCAUGCUUUAUUGGAAUCUUCUCUUUCAUUUGUUGGCCUGAGAUAUUCUUAUACUCUUGCGACAACAACCUCUCAUCCCCAAACUCACCUGCAGCAACAUUGAGGGCCGAGCUCAUCUCUUGAAGUUGAUCAUGCAACAAUGGACUCUUGUCCUCCACCAACAUCAUCAUGCUAUCAUCACCACCCACCAUUUGUUGCUCCUUCCCACGCUUGAUAUUCUGGGACUCAUAAUUCAUCUCCUCUGCAGACCACAUUUCCUGCUCGAUCUCUGUGGUGUAUUCUUCCUCAUUCCUUGAUUCAUCCACCUCAAAUCGAGACAUAUCCUUAUAAUCAACUGCUUUGCUCACUGUAUCACUCGUUUUUCCCUUAGCCUGCUCAACUUGAAUAGUACUCUUACGCCCUUUAUUCCCCUUCAAUGCACCACUCAUUACUUUUGCUCCUCGACCGGCCACCUUUAUAUUCUUCACCACAUCGCUCCCCUUCCCAAACGCCUCGUAAUUCUCUACAGGCACCAUCUCCUCUGCGGAUCUCAUCUCUUGUUUAUCUUCCUCAACUUCAUCUUCAUCAAUCAUCGUUUCAGCCUCACCACUACAUUCAUCCAGAUCAUCCUGCGGCAUAUCCUCAUCAUCAACUGCCAUAUUGAGGGUCGACCUCUGUGCUUUCACCUGUUGAAGUUGAUCGCUCUUUAUAUUCUUGGGCAUUGGUCUAUUGCAGUCAUCAAGACCCUUGAGUAACGACAAUGAGUUCUUCUCCUCCACCAUGUUAUCAUCACCAACCACCAUUUGUAAUCCUUGCUCGGUUUUUGCUGGAUAUCCUUCUUCCUCACCCUCGUCAUCAUUCAUCGUUUCUACAUCCUCAUUCCUUGAUUCAUCAUCUUCUUCACCCCCCUGCAGAUUUGCGAAUCCAAGAAUAUCCUUAUAAUCAACUGCCUUGUUCACCUGCCCCUUCAUCUUCCCCUUAGCCUGAGUUGAACUUUUACGCCUUACAUUCUCCUUCACCAACUGCUCAUGCUUUAUUGGAAUUUUCUCUUUCAUUUCUUGGCCUGAGAUAUUCUUAUACUCUUUGGUGGCAUCAUUCACUGGUUCCUGCUCCGGCACAUUCUGGUUGUCUUCCUUGGCUUGAUCUUCAUCAUUCAUUGUUUCAGGGAUGAGGCCGCCUGCUUCAUCAACACCACUCAUCUCAUCUCCUUUAGCCUGCUCAUCUUGAGUUGCCGAGUUCAUCUCUUGAAGUUGAUCAUGCAACAAUGGACUCUUGUCCUCCACCAACAUCUUCAUGCUAUCAUCAACACCCACCAUUUGUUGCUCCUUCCCACGCUCGAUAUUCUGGGACUCAUAAUUCAUCUCCUCUGCGGACCACAUUUCCUGCUCGAUCUCUGUGGUGUAGUCUUCCUCAUUUCUUGAUUCAUCAACCUCAAAUGGAGACAUAUCCUUAUCAUCAACUGCCUUGUUCAAUGUAUCACUUGUUUUUCCCUUAGCCUGCUCAACUUGAAUAGUAUUCUUACGCCCUUUAUUCCCCUUCAAUGCACCACUCAUUACUUUUGCUCCUCCACCGGCCGC